UCCUGAAGGGACGUUGAAGACUACGACGUUGAUAGGCCGGGUGUGUAAGCGCAGCGAUGCGUUGAGCUAACCGGUACUAAUGACCCGUGAGGCUUAACCUUACAACGCCAGAGGCGUUU
rnacentral:rRNA from 1 species